rnacentral:sRNA from 1 species
CAAUAGAUGCACCCUGAUAACUUACUCCCCUGGUUGGCUAAAACCCACUGGGGGUUUUUUUC